rnacentral:rRNA from 1 species
AGAGUUUGAUCAUGGCUCAGAACGAACGCUGGCGGCAUGCCUAACACAUGCAAGUCGAACGAGACCUUCGGGUCUAGUGGCGCACGGGUGCGUAACGCGUGGGAAUCUGCCCCUUGGUUCGGAAUAACACAGAGAAAUUUGUGCUAAUACCGGAUGACGACGAAAGUCCAAAGAUUUAUCGCCGAGGGAUGAGCCCGCGUAGGAUUAGCUAGUUGGUGGGGUAAUGGCCCACCAAGGCGACGAUCCUUAGCUGGUCUGAGAGGAUGAUCAGCCACACUGGGACUGAGACACGGCCCAGACUCCUACGGGAGGCAGCAGUGGGGAAUAUUGGACAAUGGGCGAAAGCCUGAUCCAGCAAUGCCGCGUGAGUGAUGAAGGCCUUAGGGUUGUAAAGCUCUUUUACCCGGGAUGAUAAUGACAGUACCGGGAGAAUAAGCUCCGGCUAACUCCGUGCCAGCAGCCGCGGUAAUACGGAGGGAGCUAGCGUUGUUCGGAAUUACUGGGCGUAAAGCGUACGUAGGCGGUUACUCAAGUCAGAGGUGAAAGCCCGGGGCUCAACCCCGGAACGGCCUUUGAAACUAGGUAGCUAGAGUCUUGGAGAGGUUAGUGGAAUUCCGAGUGUAGAGGUGAAAUUCGUAGAUAUUCGGAAGAACACCAGUGGCGAAGGCGACUAACUGGACAAGUACUGACGCUGAGGUACGAAAGCGUGGGGAGCAAACAGGAUUAGAUACCCUAGUAGUCC